rnacentral:ribozyme from 11 species
UGUUUUUUUUUUUUUUUUUUUUUUUUUUACUUUUUUGUUCCAAAUUCUGGGUCAAAAAAGACUUGAUACAUGACUGACUAUUAUUAAACGAAGUUGAAAAAAAUAAAAGAAGGAGAAUACUUC